AGAGGGUCUGAAGGUCCUGGCUAAAUUCCAGUAAAACACCGAAAUGGGGUUAAUAAAUACAAAGUUACAAGAAUUUCACAUGGCUGAAUCAAAAAGUGCCACCACCCAAGCUGUGAAGAAGAAUGAGAAGUUCAAAUAUAAAGUCAAGGAAACUAAGAAACCAGUGUUUAUGAACAUAUUCAAUCAAGCCACUGUGAAAAAGCCACUCCCCCCAAGAGCUCAGACUCCCUUGGUUAAGGUGAAGAAAGAAAUAAAACCACAAAGAUUAUGCCUUUACCAUCGCGUAAAUGAGAAGCCUAACCAGGAUGUACAGUAUGAUCUUGACAAGAGCGAGGACAGCAGUACCAGCAGCACCACAAGCUAUGAGCUGGACAGCCAGUGAAGAAGGAUGGAGGACAGAGACCUCAGAAACACCUAUCAGCAUCCAGAGGUCUCCACCCUGACCAGUAUGCAACUGUGAAGACAGCAACUUUGCAGCCCCUGGUGGUCAGAUGAUGAAAUAAAAUCAAGCUCUUAGGAGUGAA
rnacentral:lncRNA from 1 species